UACGGAGGGGGCUAGCGUUGUUCGGAAUUACUGGGCGUAAAGCGCGCGUAGGCGGACCUGCAAGUCGGGGGUGAAAGCCCGAGGCUCAACCUCGGAACUGCCUUCGAUACUGCGGGUCUCGAGUCCGGGAGAGGUGAGUGGAAUUCCUAGUGUAGAGGUGAAAUUCGUAGAUAUUAGGAAGAACACCGGUGGCGAAGGCGGUUCUCUGGGGCCUUACCUGACGCUGAGGAGCGAAAGCGUGGGGGAGCGAACAGG
rnacentral:rRNA from 1 species